CCUACGGGAGGCAGCAGUGGGGAAUAUUGGACAAUGGGCGCAAGCCUGAUCCAGCAAUGCCGCGUGAGUGAUGAAGGCCUUAGGGUCGUAAAGCUCUUUUACCAGGGAUGAUAAUGACAGUACCUGGAGAAUAAGCUCCGGCUAACUCCGUGCCAGCAGCCGCGGUAAUACGGAGGGAGCUAGCGUUGUUCGGAAUUACUGGGCGUAAAGCGUACGUAGGCGGUUAUUCAAGUCAGAGGUGAAAGCCCGGGGCUCAACCCCGGAACGGCCUUUGAAACUAGGUAGCUAGAAUCUUGGAGAGGUCAGUGGAAUUCCGAGUGUAGAGGUGAAAUUCGUAGAUAUUCGGAAGAACACCAGUGGCGAAGGCGACUGACUGGACAAGUAUUGACGCUGAGGUACGAAAGCGUGGGGAGCAAACAGGAUUAGAUACCCUGGUAGUCCACGCCGUAAACGAUGAUAACUAGCUGUUCGGGCACUUGGUGCUUGAGUGGCGCAGCUAACGCAUUAAGUUAUCCGCCUGGGGAUACGGUCGCAAGAUUAAAACUUAAAGGAAUUGACGG
rnacentral:rRNA from 1 species